GAAAGUCAUCUUCAAAAAUGUUAUAACCAGACAACCAUACGUUGUAGUGGAGAUGUUGUAUAUAAAACAAACAUAAAAGAGUAUAAAGAUGACUCCAGUAGACAUAACGUUGAUGGCAAUGAUUUAGCACCACAAGCAAGCAUAGAAGGAAGGCACAUUGCUGUGGUCCGUCCACAUAUUGAAUCAAAUAGCAAUGACUGCAAAGAAGUUGAAAACUCAGAUGACAUAUUACAACAUAGAACAAGGGAAAGUUUUCUGGUUGCUGGAGACUCCGAGAAUACACAAGGUAAGGAUCAAUAUUUCUAUAAGUAUUUACGGCAGUCUUUAUAUUAU